rnacentral:rRNA from 1 species
GGUCACUGCUAUCAGUAUUCGACUAAGCCAUGCGAGUCAAAUGUUUUUCGUAAACAUGGCGUACUGCUCAGUAACACGUGGAUAAUCUGCCCUAAGGUCAGGUGUAGCUCCGGGAAACUGGUGAUAAUCCCUGAUAUAUCAUAGAAACUGGAAUGUUCUGUGAUUAAAAGCUCCGGCGCCUUAGGAUGAAUCUGCGGUCUAUCAGGUUGUAGUGGGUGUAGAGUACCUACUAGCCUACGACGGAUACGGGUUGUGAGAGCAAGAGCCCGGAGAUGGAUUCUGAGACAUGAAUCCAGGCCCUACGGGGCGCAGCAGGCGCGAAAACUUUACAAUGCGGGAAACCGCGAUAAGGGGAUACUGAGUGCCAGCAUAUUAUGUUGGCUGUCCACCUGUAUAAACAGCAGGUGUUAGCAAGGGCCGGGCAAGACCGGUGCCAGCCGCCGCGGUAACACCGGCGGCCCGAGUGGUGGCCACUAUUAUUGGGUCUAAAGGGUCCGUAGCCGGUUUGAUCAGUCUUCCGGGAAAUCUGACAGCUCAACUGUUAGGCUUCUGGGGGAUACUGUCAGACUUGGGACCGGGAGAGGUAAGAGGUACUACAGGGGUAGGAGUGAGAUCUUGUAAUCCUUGUGGGACCACCAGUGGCGAAGGCGUCUUACCAGAACGGGUCCGACGGUGAGGGACGAAAGCUGGGGGCACGAACCGGAUUAGAUACCCGGGUAGUCCCAGCCGUAAACGAUGCUCGCUAGGUGUCUGGGACGGUGCGACCGUUUCAGGUGCCGCAGGGAAGCCGUGAAGCGAGCCACCUGGGAAGUACGGCCGCAAGGCUGAAACUUAAAGGAAUUGGCGGGGGAGCACUACGACGGGUGGAGCCUGCGGUUUAAUUGGACUCAACGCCGGAAAACUCACCUGGGGCGACAGCAAUAUGUAGGUCAGGCUGAAGGUCUUACCUGAAUCGCUGAGUGGAGGUGCAUGGCCGUCGUCAGUUCGUACUGUGA